GACGAACGCUGGCGGCGUGCCUAAUACAUGCAAGUUGAGCGCUGAAGGUUGGUACUUGUACCAACUGGAUGAGCAGCGAACGGGUGAGUAACGCGUGGGGAAUCUGCCUUUGAGCGGGGGACAACAUUUGGAAACGAAUGCUAAUACCGCAUAAAAACUUUAAACACAAGUUUUAAGUUUGAAAGAUGCAAUUGCAUCACUCAAAGAUGAUCCCGCGUUGUAUUAGCUAGUUGGUGAGGUAAAGGCUCACCAAGGCGAUGAUACAUAGCCGACCUGAGAGGGUGAUCGGCCACAUUGGGACAGAGACACGGCCCAAACUCCUACGAGAGACAGCAGUAGGGAAUCUUCGGCAAUGGACGAAAGUCUGACCGAGCAACGCCGCGUGAGUGAAGAAGGUUGUCGGAUCGUAAAACUCUGUUGGUAGAGAAGAACGUUGGUGAGAGUGGAAAGCUCAUCAAGUGACGGUAACUACCCAGAAAGGGACGGCUAACUACGUG
rnacentral:rRNA from 1 species